GGACCCGCACAACCAGUGGAGCGUGUGGUUUAAUUCGAGACGAAGCGAAAAACCUCACCAAGGCUUGACAUGCUAGAGUUCUAGCCUCCCCAAAAGGAGGCAAUCCGUAAGGAGACUAGCACAGGUGCUGCAUGGCUGUCGUCAGCUCGUGCCGUGAGGUGUUCCCUUAAGUGGGGAAACGAGUGCAACCCUUGUCUAAUGUUAAAUAUUCAUUAGAGACUGCCUCUAUUUUUAGAGGAGGAAGGAAAGGCGGACGUCAAGUCAGCAUGGCCCUUAUGCCUUGGGCUACACACACCCUACAAUGGCGAAGAACAAUGGGUCGCAAGCUCGUAAGAGCAAGCUAAUCUCAGAAAUUUCGCCUCAGUUCAGAUUGAGGUCUGAAACUCGACCUCAUGAAGUUGGAAUUGGUAGUAAUCGCGGAUCAGCGGGCCGCGGUGAAUACGUUAUCGGGUCUU
rnacentral:rRNA from 1 species